rnacentral:rRNA from 1 species
CUCAAAGAUUAAGCCAUGCAAGUGGUUAAUUAACCCGACAGUUUAAAUAAGUGUUAACACCGUACAACGUACGAACGCGGGUUUAUUUACUAUUAAAAUAAAUAAAUCAUACACAAGCCGAUGCGAUACAAAAAUACGUAUCACUUAUGCAACUGCAGACAGCUGCUUAAUACAGUCACACUUGUCUUGACUUGGCUAUUUUACACUACACACACACACACACAUCACACACGAUGUUGCAUUGAAUGAUUUCUUUCACCGUUAUCACUCACUCUAUACACACGCAACGGAUAACUCAGGGAAAGUUUGGCUAAUACGUACGAGUCUUAAUAUAUACACACACACACGACACAUUCAAAAUUAUAUGCUCUUACACACAUUCUCACCACACACACAGAGUAUAUAUACACAUCGUUUACUCAGCACUCAAUGGUAAACUUUGAGUGCUUCGGCGCUCUGUUUUAAGUUUAAACGCAACAUGAGAGACAUUGAGCACGCAGUGGCCUUUGGUCACAUUACGCUGAGCAGACUUUGCGAAUUUUAUUUGCGAAGCAUGUCAUACAAGCAUCUACAGCAUCAAGUCACAGGGUUGGCACGUGUAUUUUUGAACCUUCAAAGCAGUCACGCAUACGGAAGAGUAGUUUCUGAUCCCAUAGAAGGAGCACCGUACAAUGAGAGACGGCUCUUAGUUCUAAGGAACGCAGCAGGCGCGUAAAUUGCCCAAUGUUAGUACCCUACAAUUUUGUUAAUCAAAACUUAUUUUAAACUACAAUAACACGAACAUCCUUGUCUUAAAAUACUGUGAUAAACUCAAUAUAUUUAUUGAGGCAGUGACAAGCUGUAACGGUUGAGUAUAAUAAUGACGAGUGUCUGACCCUGCCGCUCCUUCGGGAGCUUGGCGAGUUGUCGACGCUUUGUGUGCUCAAUUGGAAUGCGGUGAGUUUAAGCAACUCAGAACCUUUGUAUUGGUGUUUGGCGACAUUCACCUAUGCUUGUAUCUGAAUUUCAAGUGGAGGGCAAGUCUGGUGCCAGCAGCCGCGGUAAUACCAGCUCCACUGGCCUAUACAAUCAUUGUUGCGGUUAAGAGGCUCGUAGUUGGAUUGAACAAUAAAAAAUGUUUAUUUAUAAGCAUUACAACUCGACACCACACACACACACAGAGUUUAUGUUAUAUACAUAAAUAAACACAUAUUUCAACACUGUGAACAAAUCAGAGUGUAUCAAACAGGUCGUUUUUUCAUGUGCCUUGAAUGUCUUAUCAUGGGAUGUUGCAUUAUGAAUAUUUAACACCUUUUGUCUCACUCACAACAUACACACAUACAUACGUAACAAAAAAGUGUGGACAAAAUAUAUAUGAAUAAUAUUCAUAUCAUGUCGAUGGGGAUAGUUGGAGUCAACAGUACUGCUGGGCGAGAGGUGAAAUUCAUUGACCCUAGCAAGACUACCAAAAGCGAAAGCAGUUGGCUAGGCUAUACUCUUUGUGUUUGUAUGUAUAACUAACACACACAAUAAAUUAUAUACAAUACACUUUACAAUGAAGAACGAAGGUUGGGGGAUCAAAGAGGAUCAGAUACCCUCGUCGUCCCAUUAAUUACAUCAAACGAUGGGCUCUCAAUUGCAUUCUACAGUCAUGUAGAUUUGAUGAAUCCUCAACCUGCAAACAUAAUCUGUUGGCUCGAGCUCGUAUUUCGAUACGCUCGCCUCUAACUUUGUUAGUUUGGUCUCGACGGACUUUUCUGUUCUACAUACAAUCUUUGCGUGUAAGCAUAGUUCUUAACUUUCUUGUUGGAACUGCGUGCACUUGAUUUUCGGAGCUUUGCGCUCAAUUUAAUACUGGUGAGAUGUAAGCGUCAUGUCCUUGUUGCCCGCAUUUGCUCGACUUCGGUCUUGUUCAAAUGCCGUGUGCAUCAUUGACAAUUAUUUAUAUGACGUGAAGCACGCGUUAGGCACGCGCUUACUGCAGAAAUGUCUGAGACACUUCUUUCCUGGGGUAGUAUGCACGCAAGUGUGAAACUUGAAGGAAUUGACGGAAGGGCACCACAAGAACGCGUGGAGCAUGUGGCUUAAUUUGACUCAACGCGGGAAAUCUUACCGGGUCCGGACACACUGAGGAUUGACAGGUUUUAUCCAUAUAUUUUAUAUAUGGUGUCAAAAAUGCUAGUCCUUUCAUGAUUAUGUGAUAGGUGGUGCAUGGCCGUUCUUAGUUCGUGGAGUGAUCUGUCUGCUUAAUUGCGUUUCACUACGAAUCUACUUUAAACGUGUUUUUGUGAGAUGAACUGAUCCCUCCCAUUCUUCGGUUUGGCGAGUUGUGCGUCUUUUCAUCGUUAUCACAUCGCACAACGUUGAUUCUGAAAGCAACGAACGUGACCGCAACCUCUUGUUGCCUGUAUCACCAAAACAGUCUGCACUCUGUGCUUUCUGUAUAAACAGGCCUUAUAUUAAUAAACUAGAGGGACCGCUGUUACUUUCUUAAACCAGAGGAAGGUUGCGGCAAUAACAGGUCUGUGAUGCCCUUAGAUGUUCCGGGCUGCACACGUGCUACAAUGAUUAUUGCAGUGAGCAUCUCAUAUUUAUACAUCACUUGCAUGAGCUCUUUAACUUUUUGUUAUGGUGUCUCUAUGCGUGAUAAAGCCUGCUUCGAAAGUAAGUGGGUAAUCAAUUAGAAGUAAUGAUUUCCUUUAUAUGCACAUUUAUGUUUGGCACUAAUCCCCAGCCUAACUCUUGUUAGUGCUUGUGUGCGUUUAGUGGAUUAUCUUUAAUCUCUACCAUUCGUGCAAUUGUCAAUUCAUGGUGGGGACAGACCAUUGUUAAUUGUUGGUCUCGGUCUUAACUAGGAAUGCCUUGUACGGGUCUUUGGUUCAACAAACCACCCGGAAUACGUCCCUGCCCUUUGUACACACCGCCCGUCGCUCUUACCGAUGGAUUUCUCUGUGAGUUUGAAGGACUGGUUGUUUAUACUAUGGAAAUUCAAACGANNANUGUGAUCUAAAGGAAAGAGAAGUCGAACAAGGCA